rnacentral:tRNA from 2 species
GGAGGCGUGGCCGAGCGGUUUAUGGCGCCAGUCUUGAAAACUGGUUGGGGAGCAAUCCUCUCACAGGUUCGAAUCCUGUCGCCUCCGCCA